AUGAAAGAGGACCUGAUUUACAGAGUGGGAGAUGGCAGCUCCAUCAACAUUUGGUCGGACCCCUGGCUGAACCGUGAGGGAAUUCGAACCCCCAGAUCACCAAAGGGUAACUGUAUUCUCACCAAAGCUAUCGAGCUGGUAGACCCAACCACCCACGAGUGGGACGAGGAGUUGGUAAAGAGCCUGUUUGUGGAGGAUGAAGCUGAGAUCAUCCUAGCAACACUGGUCCGGGAGGAUUUUGAGGACUUCUAUGCUUGGUUCCAUGACAGCAAGGGCCAAUUUUCGAUGAAGUCAGCCUACAAGCUCUACGUGCUACAGAGAGAUGUUGAUCGACCAGGACCCGCUGAACCAAUAUCGGCGGGUUGGGAGUGGAAGGAGAUCUGGAGCCUACCAUGCCAACCCAAGAUACAACAGUUCUUAUGGCGGCUUCCUCACAAUAGCCUACCUCUGAAACUGAACAUCAAACACCGUGGAAUUGAAUGUGAUACCCUCUGCGUGUGCUGUAGGAGACUGGACGAAGAUGCAGCGCACCUUUUUCUAAGAUGCAAGCUUCUAAGGAAGGUGUGGAGCGAACUACACAGCCAGUCCCGAUGCAGCAGACCUGGAGGGAAACCCAAGGGAGAUUUGCUGAAGAUCAACUGUGAUGGAGCUUUUAAUGCAGCCCGGGGUACUGGUGGCUGGGGCUUCGUUGUCCGUGAUGAGGCGGGAGAUGUCAGAGGCUCAGGGGUGAGGUUCCUGUACCAUGUUGCGACAGUGCUGGGCGCUGAGGCCCGGGCCUAUGUGGCUGCGCUGGAGGCAGCGGUGGACUGGGGAAUGACGCGCAUACAAGUUGAAACGGACAGCCAAGUUCUUGCCAAAGCGAUGAAUGGAAGAGAUUCUGACCUGGCUAUGGAGGGCAUCUUGUUCAGAGAGAUCCGCCAAUUCGCCCGCAUGAACUUUAGUCACAUAUCAUUCUCUUUUGCCCCCAGGGCAUGUAAUACUUUAGCUCAUGCUAUUGCUGCUUUUGGCGCUCGACGCCGUGUUGUGCGAGAGACCUGGGUUGAGGCUCUCCCCGACGAUGUAUCCGUUGGACGGGCCAGCGUUGGUGCUGGAACCGGGUAA
rnacentral:rRNA from 1 species